CCAAAAACCUAAUGUGACAGCGAAAGUUCCGGAACGGCAGCGAUGAGCGCUUCCCCGGAAAUGCUAAUGUUCCCUGCUACACUGAGUGGGAAGUCCCAGAACAACAAGACUUGGAGGACAUAGAAACACUUCUGAAAAGAUUUCAGCACAACAUUAUCUCUACUCUACACAUUUGGUGCCAAGACUCAACAUUUUAUACAGAGCCUCAGGAUGCGCUGGAGAUCUGAGAAAGGGCAGAAUAAAAUCUUUGCUUAAAUAUAUCAAAGAACAAGAAGAACCCACAUAUGUGCUCUAAGCGCCUACUGGGUCAGACCCUUUCUGCAAACUGUUAAACAGACCUCUGGCUAUCCUGGCGCGUGGUGGCAAACAUGGUGACUUCAUUAUAUGGCUGGCAAGACUCAUUUGGACCCGAUCUCCUUAAGCAUUGGUUCUUGACUUCCUUCCUCAAAGCCUCCCACCCCUGUUUCUGCUCCUCCAAGCAGCUCCUGAUAAAUACCUUGCCUGCAUCAGCAUCAGGGUUUUCAUGAACAGUUGCACAGG